GAAAGAAAGAAAGAAAGAAAGAAAGAAAGAAAGAAAGAACGCUACAAAACAUCACAAUGAAGACCACUAGUGCUAUCAUCUUUGCCUUGUU
rnacentral:ribozyme from 13 species